AUUGAACGCUGGCGGCAGGCUUAACACAUGCAAGUCGAGCGGGGUGAUGGUGCUUGCACUAUCACUUAGCGGCGGACGGGUGAGUAAUGCUUAGGAAUCUGCCUAUUAGUGGGGGACAACAUCUCGAAAGGGAUGCUAAUACCGCAUACGUCCUACGGGAGAAAGCAGGGGAUCACUUGUGACCUUGCGCUAAUAGAUGAGCCUAAGUCGGAUUAGCUAGUUGGUGGGGUAAAGGCCUACCAAGGCGACGAUCUGUAGCGGGUCUGAGAGGAUGAUCCGCCAGAGUGGGGAUGAGAAACGGCCCAGCCUCCUACGGGAGGCAGCAGUGGGGAAUAUUGGACAAUGGGGGGAACCCUGAUCCAGCCAUGCCGCGUGUGUGAAGAAGGCCUUAUGGUUGUAAAGCACUUUAAGCGAGGAGGAGGCUCUUUUGGUUAAUACCCAAGAUGAGUGGACGUUACUCGCAGAAUAAGCACCGGCUAACUCUGUGCCAGCAGCCGCGGUAA
rnacentral:rRNA from 1 species